AAGACACCCUGCCGCAUUUGCCCGUGUCCGCCGCCGCCGACCGCAACCAGCGCCUCCACGCGCGGGCGGCUCGCGCUCGUGCCUCCCUGCCGCCCCGCGCAGCCGCCCACCGGAGCUCCGCUACCGGACCAACGCGCCGCCAUGCCCUCCUCUCCUUCUUCCUUCCCCUCCCCCUUGUUCUAUUUCUCACAUCCCCCCCUCGCUCUCUCCUUCGCAGGAAGCGGAAGCCAUGGCCCUGGACCUCCAUGUCAGACCGCCGCCCCGCGCUGGCCGGCCAUCGGAGCGCCGCCGCCGGACCAACGCGCCGCCCUGCCCUCCUCUCCUUCUUCCCUCCCUUCCUCUGGUUCUAUUUCUCACAUCCCUCUCUCUCUCCCCCCCUUCACAGGAAGCGGAAGCCAUGGUCGUUGGAUCUCCAUGCCGGACCGCCACCCCACGCCGGCCGGCCACCGGAGCGCCGCCUCCGGAGCAACGCGGGUUGCCGCGCUGGACCGCAAGCGGAUGCACUGAUUGUGCUCGACGGAGAUGGGCCCUGUGUGUGCCCUGCAGCCUGGACGAAACUCCGGCGAGGCCAUGAGCUCCCGAGCCCCAACCCGGGUGUAGGAGCGUACGGGAGCACCGUCGUGGAUCCUGCGCGUCCUAGGUCCGCCGAGGCCACGGGCUCCCAAGUCGGGCAUAGGUGCGUACUGGAGCAACGCCCGCCUGGGCGAGGUCCUCCUGCUUCUGGAGGAGGCGAACAAGCCGAGCCAAGCCAUGAGGCGCCCGUGGCCAACAUAGUCUAUUAAACCUUCGAUAUGCUGGAGGGUGAUGAGGUGACAUGGAGCUAAACAUAGAUUGAAGAUUCUGUCAUGGGUUCCUCAGAGAAGAUAGAACAAAUGCGUAUGGAGAUCCAGCUGUUGAAGAUGCCGAGGGACAAGAACAUUCAGGAGUUGUUCGCCUAAUGGGUUGGUUCUGUAGGAAGCACAAGAAAGUGGGUAUGAAAGCUAUGAGACGAUGGCCAAUACAGAUAUUGACAGGGCUGGAAUAUCAUUAGAGUCCGGCGCUAACGAAUAUACAUAGCGACUUAAAGUGUGACAAUAUAUUCAUAAAUAGUCCUGAUGGAACAGUGAAGAUCGGCGACUAUAUGGUCUGGCGACAUUAUUGCAUCAAUGGAAAAAGCAAAGUGUCAAAGGCGCAUUAGACUUUACAGCACCAGAACGCUUCACUGGCAAUACAAUGAGUUGCUUGGGUAUUCCAAUCCCCUUGCUGAACCCUGUGCUAUUCGCAGCCUCUUCUGUCAAUCCAGCAGCACACCGCUGCCCUUCGCAUCCUCCCUGCAUCACUGCAACUGGGCCGUGCUCACAUCGUCUGCGGUCACAUGCGCAAUCUUUGCGCUCGACGCUGCCUCCACCGAGAUACAUUGCAAGGGUGCCUGAAACGCCCACUGCUGGGUACAUGCAUACAACAAUUAUGCCAUGUCUUCCCUAUUCGAUCGGUCGCACAGGUAUGUUUCUUUUCCUUCUUUGUUUAGUUUUAAAGAAAAGAUUAAUUUCUGAACUCACCAUAUUUUUAUACUAUAUAUAAGCAUGGAUGACUAGAAUAGUUGAUUGUCAGUUCACUUAUAUUUCUGCUAUGGAAAGGAGCAUCAGUUUUACGCAUGCUUCCCGGGUCCUUGGUGAGAGGCCUCUGUGAUGUUAUUCUUUUAGGUAAGCUUUACUCAGGUUGCUACUCAUGUCACAGUGUCUGUAAUUUAGCCAGAGUCAGGUUCAGAGUUAUUGACUGAAUUUUUCGGGCACAACCAUCAAGCAACCUGAGUAAAGCUUACCUAAGCCAAUGAUUUUGUUCUUUUAGCUAGAGCCAGGUUCAGAGUUGUUCACUCUGGAUUUUUUGGGCACAACCAUCAAGCAAGCUAGCACGUAUUGUUUAACUGAAGCAAAGGGCAGCUAAGCUAUGAAUGCUUCAUUCUUUGUUCUACACAAAUGCAGCUACUAUUUGUAUUUGAUCUGAGCAAAGGUGCAACCAAUUGAAGUUAUUUUGAAGAACCUGCACCUGAGUAUAUAUGUUCUGAUUUUAUAGCCUGCAGAGUCUGUAGAGUAAAGUUUGUACAUUUUGUGAAUCGCUUUGUUCCUGUUUCCCUUGGUGUAUAGUCUAUACUGUAUCAGGUUAUUUACUAUGUGCAGAUUUGUUUGUGCCAUUGCCGAUCAUGUACUUCUUUCUGUGCUUGGAAGCAUAGUCUCAUCGUAUCCCCUAGAUCUGUAUAAGUAUAUUUAGCUCACAUACACUUGGCAUUUGUUCUUCAAAAGGCGAUGUCCUCGAUGCUGGACUCCUGGUAACAGUUUAUUACAUGUUAUUUCUUUUUUUGGUGAGUCUUUUCUUGAGAUUUAGGAUUAUGGAGUUAACGGGUGUUACUUUUGACCUGCUAAUACAGCUGCGUUAAACUUUUUGCUCUUCGAAAGCAACUAUCUCCUGUAGAUGAAAGACUUCCUGCAAGUGAGCUCUUGAAUAACUCUUACCUCCAGGAAGAUGAGGUCUAUUCCAGCGCCUUCAAUUUCAGUCUCUCUGGUCUCAAGUGUGACUGAAGAUGGGUGGCAAUCUGCAAGUUUCGUGCUUUGGAAGGGUGAAUUCUUACUGAAAAACCAUAUGUUUCUUACCGACCAUAUUAAUUUAUUGCUAAGGUUUCCUCAUACCACUGGCUGUUUAAAGAAUGCUGAGUUGUCAAGCGAGGUGCUGCAGUGGCUGGCGUUGCCGAGCAUGGGACGACGUCUCUAGGCUCCUGCCUGAGGCAAGCCUCUCCGGCCUCCUCGGAUGCCCUCUAGGAACUGGCACUGCGUAUGAUGGUCUCCUCACCUAGCACCUAGGUUGACCUAGCCACCGCCAUCGAAGCGGAGAGUUGACAAUAUAUGUAUGAUUGUUGGACGUGUCAGUCCUGCCAUUGACAUGUUCAAAACUAUGAAUUGGGUGAUUACAAAUAUGCUUUGAUCAAUGAAAUGAAAGGAUGUUCUGUUA